AUAGCGUAUAUUAAAGUUGUUGCAGUUAAAAAGCUCGUAGUUGGAUCUGCGGCCUUGAAGGACGGUCUCCCGAAAGGGUAGUCACUGUCUCUUCUAGCCUAAAUUCGAGUUGUCUCUAGGUGCUCUUUAUUGAGUGCUUAGAGCGACUAGAACGUUUACUUUGAAAAAAUUAGAGUGCUUAAAGCAGGCGAAAUAGCCUGAAUAAGGUGCAUGGAAUAAUGGAAUAGGACCUCGGUUCUAUUUUGUUGGUUUUCGGAGCCUGAGGUAAUGAUUAAGAGGAACAGACGGGGGCAUUCGUAUUUCGGCGCUAGAGGUGAAAUUCUUGGACCGC
rnacentral:rRNA from 1 species